GCUUAUUUAGAUAGCUUGGGAGAUAGCUGGCACACGAUAUCAUGAUCCUAAAUUAGUGAACGAAACUGCUUCCAACAUUCUAUCUGAUAAAGACACCACAAUUCCCUUUUAAGUCUUUAACUGCAGAACCAGAUGAGGUCCAUUUCUUAUUGCUUGGGUGAAAUACUUCAAGAAGACUAUAUUUUCUGGCAAUAAUGGGAAGAAAUAUGGACGUUUUAUUGGUGGAUCAAUUGUGGGUCAUUUUGCAAAUCAGUUAUGCCCGUUUUAUUUUGAGGUGACUCAAACAAAAGAAGUACUGUCAACUGAACAGCCCUGUGAUUUGGCCUACGAAUUCGGGGAUGGUCUCUUGGAUAUUCGAUUAAUAUCCAAGUCACUUUCCCAAACCAGUGAAACACCCGUAUCCGUUCAAUGAUGAGGCUGUGAUAUACAUUCAGCAUAUAGGACCUGAACGUUUUGGUAGGGCAGGCAUGGCAGGAAGGCAAAAAAUUAGACCAAAGGCCACAGAAGUUAUGUGGGGAGAUUUUGAUGGUAAAAGAAUAUGCUCCAUGAGAAAAUUAGGUGAAGAAAUCAUGUGGUUUUGUUUUGUCAUUUGAAGAAGGGCAUAAAUCCUAUGUGGAGUGUAGCUGUUUAGGUAUGAACUGUAACAGUGGUAACUUCCAUGGUGAUUGAUGACAUAUUUGAAAAAGAUUAAGGGUAGGCAUGACCAUCAAUCAUGUGAG